rnacentral:rRNA from 1 species
GCGCAUCUGUGCAUGCAGCAUAUCAAUAAGCGGAGGAAAAGAAACUAACAAGGAUUCCCUUAGUAACGGCGAGUGAAGCGGGAAGAGCUCAAAUUUGAAAUCUUCAAGGUUUUACCUUGACGAAUUGUAGUUUAAAGAAGUGUUUUCUGUUGAAGUUUUGGUAAAAGUUCUUUGGAAUAGGACAUCAUAGAGGGUGAGAAUCCCGUAUUUGACCAUUAUUUUCAGCUGUGUGAUACACUUUCAAAGAGUCGGAUUGUUUGGGAAUGCAGUCCAAAAUGGGUGGUAAAUUUCAUCUAAAGCUAAAUAUUGGCGAGAGACCGAUAGCGAACAAGUACCGUGAGGGAAAGAUGAAAAGAACUUUGAAAAGAGAGUUAAACAGUACGUGAAAUUGUCAAAAGGGAAGCGUUUGACACCAGUGUUGUUUUCUCGAAAAUCAAUUAAAAAGAGUUGGAUUUUGUUGUGUAUUGACCUUAACAGCUUGCAUUUCAAUUUCUUCAGCUUUUUUUAAUGCACUUUUCGUUUAACAAGUCAACAUCAGUUUCUUUUGUUGUAAAAGGGUCAUUGGAAGGUGGCUUUCUUUCGGAGAAAGUGUUUAUAGCCUUUGACUCCUGCAAUCGGAGAGACUGAGGUCUGCAGCGUAGAUCCUUCGGGGUUAGAUACAUUUGUGCUAAGCUACUAGCUUUUCAUAGACAACUUGUUGACUAUGAUUAGUCUUGUAGCUUACCUCGCUUAUGCUAUUUUACCUACGCUUAGGAUGUUGACGCGCGUGUGUGCGUGAGUCUAUACAUGACUCUGCGCAUAUCAAUAAGCGGAGGAAAAGAGGGGCGUAUGGGGUACCUACGCUUAGGAUGUUGACGCGCGUGUGUGCGUG